UACGUAGGGUGCGAGCGUUAAUCGGAAUUACUGGGCGUAAAGCGUGCGCAGGCGGUUCGUUGUGUCGGUGGUGAAAGCCCCGGGCUUAACCUGGGAAUGGCCAUGGAAACUGGCGAACUGGAGUGUGGCAGAGGGGGGUGGAAUUCCGCGUGUAGCAGUGAAAUGCGUAGAGAUGCGGAGGAACACCGAUGGCGAAGGCAGCCCCCCUGGGCUAGCACUGACGCUCAUGCACGAAAGCGUGGGGAGCAAACAGG
rnacentral:rRNA from 1 species